rnacentral:tRNA from 1 species
GCUCCUUUAACUCAGCGGUAGAGUAACGCCAUGGUAAGACGUAAGUCGUCGGUUCAAAUCCGACAAGGAGCU